ensembl:lncRNA
AAUGGGUUGAGCGAAUAUAUACACAAAUUAAUUAUAAGCUAUGAAAAGAUCUGUGGGCAAGGUGGCGACCACUCUAGUGUUUUACAUGAAAACUACACCUCUGUGCCUGGGAGAAUUUGAAUUAUGGUCCGAAAAGAUAAAUAUUAAUAAACACCAAAGCCAGUGAUGUGACUUUGCCUCCUCGCUUCAUAAGUUCACCACCCUGCUAAUACUAACAUAUAUUUUACAGAAGAAAGAAUGUUUACAUUUUCUCAACAUUUUGCAUAGUUUUAUCGAUGUGUUACUAGAAGCCAUAUUGUGACUACAAUCAUUGCCAAAGGAUUUAGCUUUAUAUCCCAUAAUAGUAUAAAUGUGUCUGCUAAUGUAUUUUUUAAUUUUUUUGGUAUCUUCUAUGCACUGAUGUGCUUAUUUAAAGUGACCAAACUAAUUUAUAAUAUAUGAAUGUCUAAUGAGAUGUGACAUUUUUGGAUUUAUACAUGGGUCAAGUACACACAAAAAGGUUUCAUUAUGAUAUUGAUUUUUCAUCCUCAAUUUGCAUGAAUGACUCAAUGGCGAUGUAAAACGUGAACAUUUUCUCCUCUCACAUGGCUUACAAAACUUGAAAUUUGUCGCUUCUCGACUAUUUCUCACUUUCCAAGCUACUCUGCAUGAAGGCAGUGCUGCAAGAUACCACUUCCUUGCUUGUUCUUUUUUUUCUCUCCUCUCUUUUUUUGGUUUCCCGCCUGUUUGAGGAAGUAGCACAAAGAGAGAGGCGUGCAAAGAUGAAAACUUAAAGUGACAACCUACUGACUGUAUGGACACAGAUAACACACUUUAGUUGUGGUACUGCAGGUUACACAAGCAACGGUGGAGGCGAGGGAGCUAGGCAAGCCGAGGUGGAGCCGCUGGGUCUACGGGCCGAGGUGGAGUCCGGGCCUCAGAGGCUGGAGGAGGAGGUGAGGGAGACUCCGACCAGGGUGACGCUAGAGGAUGGCAGUCCCGUGGGGCUCGCAGCCUCGCACCACAAUGAUGGGCAGUUAUUAUUUUAUGAUUUGCUACAGACAGGCCAUACACUUUUCUUUCCAUUUGGACCCAAAUUUGUAAAAAUGCUGUCUAACCACAUCAUGAUGAAGAGCCUAAGCAUAAUAAUAAAGAGAGAAGUGUGAAAGAGCCGUUCCACCUUCAGAUUUAGAUUCACAAAAGUGGUUUUUACAUAUACUAUGAGUGUAAUGUGUCCAUGUGCUUAAAAAUAUUAGGCAAAAAAUAAAUUUUAAAAACAUUAACCUUCCA